GGGGAUGGGGCCUGUUUGAUUCAGAGGCCGAUUCGUUAUCGGCCAUAUCUCUGAAUCCGAUUCAGCUGAAUUGAUUCGGGACAGUGAUUCAAAUCACUGCAUCAAAUCACUUGCCCAUGAAUCGGCCAAAUCCGAAGCAAAUACUAGCUGCUUUGCACAAGCUUACUAACCACGCAACCAUUGUAUGCUCUUUGGAGCAUAGAGGGACCUUUAAUCUGGAAAAUCUUCCAGUGAAAAUACUGACAAAUAAGACUAGUGUUAGUCCAAUUAAUAAAUGUCAAAUGUGUUUAAGUGAAGAUUACUUUAGUAACAGGACAGGCAGGGGACACCUGUAUCAUCUAGUCCAAUCCCUUGCUAUAGUCAGUAGAUGUGUCACGUUGCCUCUUCCAGAAACUCAUCAAGCUCCAUCUUAAGAAUAGGGUUUUUUUUGCCUGCGUACUAUUGUUUGAAGAGUGUCCUGGAUCAUCAUUCCUCUGAUGGUUAGAAAUAUUUUUUAUUGUCAGCCUCAGUGUGCUCAUGGCCAAUUUAUACCUAUUUGUUUUUCUUCCAACAUUGUCCUUUAGCUUAAAAAGUUCUUUAUCUCCAACCUUAAUAUAUUUGACAUGGAGCAGUCAUCCUCUGUCAGCCUUCAUUAUGCUAGGUAAAAACAAGUCGACUUUUUAAAUAAUCUUCUCAUAAUACAAGGGUUUUUUGGUGCUGUUUAGCAGCCUGCUUUACUUCCUGAAUGCCUAGAUAUUCUUGUUAUCAAUAAAGAGUUUUCAACAUGAGUAUAUAUGCUUCUUAAUACCUGCAACAUGGGUGGAAGAAGGAGGUAGGAUACAGUAUUGGUAGAACAAGUUAAGGUAAGGCAACCAGUUCUCUGAGACCGACCUGUAGCAGUUCAGUAUUUUGCAAAGCUAGGUUGCUGAAUCCCAGUUCUUAUCUCUUACCUUUAUUUGCCAUGUAUUUUAAACUGUCAUUAAAUCAGCUUGGGGGUCCUCUUAUAAUAGUGAAAAAUUUUUCCUUGCAGGCUUAAUUUCUUAUUCUCUGGAAUGUGCUCUUCUUUUCAAAUUAUUUUAGGGUUUUAAAAGGGAUCUGUUUGCUGCACAAGUGCAUUUAUUUUAGGGCCCUGGGACCCUGGAAGAGAGGCAGGGGGCUCAAGUGUCCAGCUGCAGGAGGAGUUGGGGUGGGGGGGACGACAGGAAGCUGCUGCGAGAAAAAUGUCACUGCUAUGAACCGAGUUAACCCUUUCUUGGUCCUGAAACCACUGCAGUUUUAUAUGCCAAGCAAGGAUCCAACACUCUGAAUUCUGUGAUGGCUGUGGGGCUGCGGAGGGGUUAACCUGGCUCUCAGUGGUCUUUGCUGCCAGCUGUACUUGUUAUCUGGUAGCUGAUUUUAUUUGUGAAGGCUGAAGUAAAAAAGGAAUGAAAUAUUUUGGUCUCUUCUGAAUUAUCUGUAACUAGGUUGCCUUCUGAGUUCUGUAAGGGGCUUAUGGGUUAUGUGGUCUUCCUCUUACUUUUGACAUACUUUUGACAUACUUUGUUGCUCUUUAGGUCGCUUGCCUUUUGCAUCUUCAUUUAUACCUUGACCUUAAUUUUCUCCCUGUACACCUGUGUGAUAAGCUUAAACUUCCCUUGUAAUAUGACCAAGUUUCCACUAUUUGUAGUGUUGCUUUUUGAGUUUCAGCGUAUUGAAGAGAUGCUUGUCAAGCCAGGCUGGACUCCUGUUGCACCUCCCAUUCUACUCUUGCAUUGGGAUAGCUUGCUUCUACCCGCUUGAGAGGGCGUCCUUAAAGUGCAGCCAGCUCUCCUGGACUCCUUUUCCCUUCAGACUCGCCUUCCAGAGGAUCCUGCCUACCAGUUCCCCGACUAUCAAGUGCAAACCCUGUGUAUGAGAAGUACUAUCGACAGGUUGAUACUGCUAACACUGGAAGAGUGUUGGCUUCUGAUGCUGCGGUUUUCCUAAAAAAGUCUGGACUGACUGACUUGAUACUUGGAAAGGUAUUAUUUA